AAUAUGAUCAUUUUUUAGUUUUUUUAUACAAUGUUUUGAAUUUUCGUCUUAUUUGAAAUUUUUUACGAUUAAUAUUUUUAUUCUUACUAGAUGAUAAAAUAUGAAUAAUACUUUAUGUGUGACUAAUCUUUUUAAGUUUUUUAUAAAAUUUUUCAAAUAAGACGAAUGGUCAAAUGUUAGACACGAAAAACGAAAAACAAAAUUAUU
rnacentral:pre_miRNA from 1 species